GCUUUGCGUUUAAGUGGUACUUGAGGCUGGAUGUGCUGCGGUGGUAGGAGAAGGGUUUACGGCAGAAGCCGCACAGCACCACGCGCCUGUCCACGCUGCCGUCCGGACACUUCUUAAACCUGCUCCAGGUCCAUAGAGUCCAGAUCCACCCCUGAGAACUGAGCAGCGUCUGAUGGUGGGACUGUUCCAGGAUUCCUGCAAAAGAAGAGUGGAAACAUUAUGGCCCUGAAUUGAUUCUUAGGUUGCGUUGCUGCAUACUAAACCUGGAUCAGUGUUACUGAUGAACGGAACAAUGGAGUUACUGAUGCCACUGGGUUCACCACCAGUGGAUGUGGUGUUUGCAGUUUCAUUCACAUGGUUAGAGUUGACAUCUGCAAAUGAGGGAUGUUGUACAGACAGAAGUACUGGGGAACCGACUCCAUCAGCUGUGAUUUGUCUCUGUUCAUCUUCUUUAUUUUCAUUGCUUUGUGUGGCACAGCUGUCCAGUUCCCGCCUUUUUUCUUUCAUCAGAUCUCCAGUGGUAGCUGAAUCUGAUGUGGAAGCAACGUGAGCAACAUCUAUGAUGGAUAAGUCACUUUUUUUCUGAAACAGUACUGUGGUGUCCUACUUACUCUCUGCAUCCUCAACCAGUGGCCUGUGCAAAAUGCCUGUCAAGAAAUAGAGGAGGACCUGAAAUACAGA